ensembl:lncRNA
CACACAAUGUCUGUUUCCUUAAAAUACAGUACAAUACCUCUCUCCUCUUCACUCCGGAGAUACAACAAUGGUGUUGAGUACAACAGGAAGUGUGUUGGUGGUCUUCAUAUUGUCUAUAACAGUGGUUCUGGGUCAGGGUGACUGGGGUGUUAGAUACUCCACUCAGAGUAUCUGUGCCUUGAAGGGGUCAACAGUGGAGAUGUCCUGCUCUUACACAUUUCCCAGUGGAAAAGUCACAUCAACCUUCUGGUACACUAAAGAUACAUAUAAAAAUCCUGUGAACCUGAUUGUGGACUCAGACUAUACAGGUCGUGUCAAGUACCAUGAUGAGAGGUAUAGACACACCCUGACAAUCACAGACCUGAGAGAGAGUGACUCAGUUGUGUACAAGUUCAGAUUCAUAACAGAUGGAGACAAAUAUACUGGGGGUCCUGGAGUCACUCUUACUCUCACAGGUAUAGUAAAAAUCUUUGUAAUUCUAUUCUUUAUUUCUCUUUUAAGUCUGGGAAAUUCAAUAUAUUUAUGAAAUAUUAAUAUUGUGUGAAAUACUGUUGAUCAUAAUGGCCAGGCAAAAUAGCUAUGUUAUAAUGCUAUUAUGUACAGCGUGUUCUGUGGCGUUCAGGGCUGCCGGGAGCCUUGUCAUGGAAAUGUUCCCUUUGGCUGCUGCGUCGUCUGCUUCCUCGCUUUACUCAGCACUGUGCUGAAGCACCUUUGUCAGUGAAUACUGCCUCCAGUGUUCUGGGGUUCUACACUGUACUGUAGACACACCUGUAUUCGGGGAUUUUAUCCUGUUCUUCUAUGCAGAUCCUCUCAAGUGCUAUCAGGUUGUAUGGAAAAUUUCACCUCACAACCAUUUUCACCCCUGGUGUCUGGCUGUGCUAUUCAAGGACAGUCACAGACGUGUCCUGAAGCCACUCCUGCAUUGUCUUGGCUGUGUAAUUAAGGUCAUUGUUUUCCCCACUGCAUUAUGCUACCAGCUUCAUGCUUCAUAAUAGGGAUGGUUUUGACCCAGUUAGUCUCUGGUUUCUGAUGCCUGACAUUCAGGCAACAGAUUUUCGUCUUCAGACAGAUUAAUCUUGUUUCUCAUGGUCUGAGUGCCCUUUACGUGCCUUUUUGUGUCAUUUACUGAGGAGGGAUUUUCGUCAGCCCACUCUACCUUAAAUGCCUGACAGGUGGAGUUUUGGAGAGAUUGGCUGUCUUCCAUCACCAGACAGGAACUCUGGAGCUUUGUCUGUCACCGUUGGGUUCCUGGUCAUCUCCCUGAACAAGGACUUUCUACCCGAUUGUUCAGUUUGACUGGGUGGCCAGCAAUAGAAAUAGUCUUGCGGUUCCAAAGUUCUUCCAUGGAGGAAACUGGGUUCUUUUGGACCUUCAAUGCUGCAGACAUGUUUAUGUACCCAUCUCCAAAUUGGUGCCUUAAAAGUCCUGUCACGGAGCUCUAUGGACAAUUCCUUCAGCUUCUUGGCUUUUUUCUCUGACAUGCCCUUAACAACUGUGGGAACUUAUCUAGAGUUCAAAAUAUAGGAUACAUACCAGUAAAGGUCAUAUUUUUGUGCUGGAUCGAUUGAUACAGAUGGUGACGAGUGUCAGUGUGUCCAUGCUCAUCUAUCAAGGUUGUUGUCAUAGAAUGGAUCUGUAUCCCUAGAAAGUUGUCUUUCCCCUUCGUUGUGGCCUUCAGUGGUGUUGAGCUCAUUGCUGUUCGGGUAUGGCCCUGUAGGGACAUUGGUUCUGAGCUUGGUUACAUUCCUAAUUUAGGUUUGUAAAUGUGACAGUGGUAAUUUUACAUGU